CCUAAUACAUGCAAGUCGAGCGAACAGAGAAGGAGCUUGCUCCUUUGACGUUAGCGGCGGACGGGUGAGUAACACGUGGGCAACCUACCUUAUAGUUUGGGAUAACUCCGGGAAACCGGGGCUAAUACCGAAUAAUCUGUUUCACCUCAUGGUGAAAUAUUGAAAGACGGUUUCGGCUGUCGCUAUAGGAUGGGCCCGCGGCGCAUUAGCUAGUUGGUGAGGUAACGGCUCACCAAGGCGACGAUGCGUAGCCGACCUGAGAGGGUGAUCGGCCACACUGGGACUGAGACACGGCCCAGACUCCUACGGGAGGCAGCAGUAGGGAAUCUUCCACAAUGGGCGAAAGCCUGAUGGAGCAACGCCGCGUGAGUGAAGAAGGAUUUCGGUUCGUAAAACUCUGUUGUAAGGGAAGAACAAGUACAGUAGUAACUGGCUGUACCUUGACGGUACCUUAUUAGAAAGCCACGGCUAACUACGUGCCAGCA
rnacentral:rRNA from 1 species